rnacentral:rRNA from 1 species
UACGGGGGGUGCGAGCGUUGUCCGGAAUCACUGGGCGUAAAGGGCGCGUAGGUGGUUUGAUAAGGGUGUGGUGAAAGUCCGGGGCUCAACCCCGGAUCUGCCGUGCCGACUGUCAAACUCGAGGGCUGUAGAGGCAGACGGAAUUCCGGGUGUAGCGGUGGAAUGCGUAGAGAUCCGGAGGAAGACCGGUGGCGAAGGCGGUCUGCUGGGCAGUGCUGGACACUGAUGCGCGA